CGCCUUGCCAGCCCGCUCAGAAACUCAAAGGAAUUGACGGGGGCCCGCACAAGCGGUGGAGCAUGUGGUUUAAUUCGAUGAUACGCGAGGAACCUUACCUGGGCUCAAAUGUAUGUUGACGUAUUCUGAAAGGGAUACUUCUUCGGACAAUAUACAAGGUGCUGCAUGGUUGUCGUCAGCUCGUGCCGUGAGGUGUCGGGUUAAGUCCCAUAACGAGCGCAACCCCUAUCAUUAGUUGCCAUCAGGUCAAGCUGGGGACUCUAAUGAAACUGCCUACGCAAGUAGUGAGGAAGGUGGGGAUGACGUCAAAUCAGCACGGCCCUUACGUCCAGGGCUACACACGUGCUACAAUGGCCGGUACAACGGGCAGCGAAGGAGCGAUCCGGAGCGAAUCCUAAAAAGCCGGUCCCAGUUCGGAUUGCAGGCCGAAACUCGCCUACAUGAAGUUGGAGUUGCUAGUAAUCGCGAAUCAGAAUGUCGCGGUGAAUGCGUUCCCGGGUCUU
rnacentral:rRNA from 1 species